rnacentral:rRNA from 1 species
CAAUAGCGUAUAUUAAAGUUGUUGCAAGUUAAAAAGCUCGUAGUUGGAGUUCAGAUUGAGCUCGGCCGGUCGGCCUAAUUGGUCAGAACUGGUUGACUCUGUCUUGUUUGUGGAUCCCUCCGGAGUUAACUCUUCGGAUGUGGAAGUCCACAUCGUUUAACCUUGAAAAAAUUAGAGUGUUCAAAAGCAGGCGUUUGCUUGAAAUAUAUUAGCAUGGAAUAAUGGAAUAGGACGCUGGUUCUAUUUGUUGGUUUUGAGAACCAGAGUAAUGAUUAAUAGGGACAGUUGGGGGCAUUCAUAAUUUCAAUUGUCAGAAGGUGAAAUUCUUGGAUUUAUGUAAAGAUGAACUUCUGCGAAAAGCAUUUGCCAAGGAUGUUUUCAUUAAUCAAGAACGAAAGUUAGGGG